AGGGCUAAGGAUUGAACCCAGUGCCUCACACAUGUUAGGCUUCAGUGAAUUACUGAAAACCCUGUUGUUCAUAUUGGCCUUUCCAAAAGGGCAUCUAUCGGUGUGUAUUCAAUUUAGAAGCCAUGGAUCACAACAGCUACAAUUUCACAAUGAACUUCUGGUUAAUUAAAGGUUAAUUAAAAAAAAGACGUACUUUAUUAAAAAAAUCUAGUGCAUUCUAGAAUUUAAGAGACUAACCUUUGCAAAAGGAUAGGUGUAAGUAUUAGUUUGGAUUUGUGACCUCUUUAUUCCAGAGCUGCUCAGAGUAUAAUUGAUGGUCAACCAUUUGUUGAACAUCUGCUCUUUGUAUAGUUUGGAUGGGGCAGGUGACACAGAAAUACAUUUUUCACAGAGAUAAGCUACUAAAUUGGGACUUGCUAUUGUAGCAGCUAACAUCAAUGAUCCUGACAUAGUAGAUGAUAUUCCUAAUGUUAGAGUUAUCCAAAGAGCUGGGCAGUUACCUAGAACAGAGAAUCACAAUUCUGAUUUUUAAAUCAAAAUCAGCUUUAAAAAAGUUCUCAUUUCUGGGACUCAUAUAAUUUUACUAAAUAAAUAUUUGGGGGUAGGACAUGUGAAUCAGUAUUUUUAUCAAGUUUCCCCACAUGAUUCUAGAUCAUUCCCCUUGACUCUAAACUCAUGCAGCUGAACAUCAAAGUCUAUUUUCUGGGAUGGUGAAAUGAAGGUGAAAAGUGAUAGAAGAGUAACAGAGGUUUUAGAGGUAAAAGAGAGAUUGGCAAAUGAUGACCCCCUAGGGCUAAGUUUGACCUCCUUAUCUGUUUUAGUAAAAAGUUUUAUUGGAAUACAGCCAGGCUCAUUUGUUAUUCUCCUACCUGCCUAUGGCUGUUAUUACUACAAAGGCAGAGUCAAGUAGUUGCAACAGUGACCUUAUUCCCUACAAACCUUAAUAUAACUACUAUCUGUCUUUUACAGAAAGUCUUUAGACUACUGAUCUACAUAUAGUCUCUCUGCUUAAAAAAGGCAUGAACUCUUGGUUUGACCUUGCUCAUAAAUGGCAGACUCAAAUUCAUAAUGCUCUUAAUAAGUCCAUAAGACCAGCUAUGGAAAGUGAUUUAACUUUUGGGUCAGCUGUAUAUUAUGGUAUCUCCAUACUCCAUGAAACAGUUUCCCAUUAGUGUCUUGUGAUUUUGAAACCACCAGAAGCUCAACCACAAUAAGAUGAUUGUCUCUAUAGAAUUCAGAAAGAGUCGGACGAUGUUUAUGAGAACAUAAAUUACAGUUUCCAAAUAUAUCUGUAUUCUUGCAGUUCUUUUACUACAAAGGAAAACUA